UCUUGCUAUCGCCGACAAUGAGAACCACGAACAGCCUACUGCAACAAAUGAACUCUUCGAAACUUUUGAUAUGCCACUGGACAAUGAGCCUGAUAAAGUACUGACUGAAACAAUCGAAGAGCUGUGGAGGAAGCUCGAAAGUACUGACAAACACAUUAGUCGAAGACCAUGUCCAAGGAUACGCCUAGAAUGCAGCAGCAUCCCUUAAAACAUGGCUUAAAAAUAGUAUUUUAUUUUCAGUUGUCACCAUAGAAAAAGAUUCCUACUACAGUGUCUUUUAUGAAGAUCCUCCAAAGUACUACGUUGAAAGAGUGUUGGGAAGUUGUUCGUGCUCAGCAGUUUCGGGAGACCACUUCAGAAUGAGGUUUUUAAAAUGCGACGCUUUGACAGGAAAAUUCAGUUGGCCCUGUUCCGACGACAUCGAGUGUCUGGCUUCACUUUGGAUGUUUGCCGGGCCACUGACACUUGAUGGGCAUGGACCGUUUACAAUAGAUGAGAUAGACAUCAUUGAGGAAAAGUUUCAAGUCUUCCGUCGGGAAAUCUUAAUCAAACAGCUUCAUGCUUAGACUGCCGAUUUAGACACUUGUGACCAACAAGUGUAGGGUACUUACUUGACACAAUGGUUCAAUUACUUGACUGUACUUGAUUUUAAACAUGAAUUGAAACUGCUAAAAAAAAAAAAAUUAUUAUUUACAUGUAGGCCUAGUAUGAAUUAGUUCCACCCAAGGCUUGUCAAUGGCUAUGCCUUGUUUUUCUGUAUGGGUGGUAUGAUCAUGAGAGUGGUUAUUAUUAAUAUUCCUGGAGUAUAGUCAAAGAUUUUCACCUAGUCACUCACCCAUCUACAAGCUCAAUUCAUCUUAAAGAUGCUGCUGAUUUCAAAUGUAUUUUUGUAAAAUUGUACAAU